GGAAAACUCCGCCCAUGCCACUCUGACUCUGGAAGACAGACCAGCCCUCAGUAUUCUUCGUUCUGAUUUGCCAUUGAAGGCUUCUCAUACACUCUGUGAUUGUCAGGGAGAUUUGAUGAAGGCAUCACCAGCAUGUGAGUGAAGGGGAGUAUGGUCAUGCCAUAACCGCCGCAUGUUUACCCAGACUGUUGGACGACUGAUGUCACCCUGAGAGAACAGAUGAAGUGGGCCUCCGGUGGACUCCUCUACGUCUCCCUCUCUCGCCGUGCAUCUGCCUGUCUCUCCGGACAUGUCAUGGGAAGUGAUGAUAACAGGGUUGUGCGUGGAGUUCAGCGGCCACGCAGCGCUGCAAAUCUCCCUGGCCAUCUUGCACAGCUCAUGCUGUUCAAACAGGUUUCUGUGCCGGCUUGUGUCUUGUCUUGUCAAGUGGCUGACAUUCUGAUUUAAUCAACAUCCAUGCCUGCCAGAUGAAUUAGAUCACUAUCAAAAAUGCACAGGGAGCACCAUGUCCCUCACUUGUCAGAACCAAACUCAUCUGCUCAUUUAUUUAUUGCAGUCUCCAUAAGAGGAGCAGCGUAACCCUGUGUGGGCUCAGGGAUGUCUGUCCUUGGUGCUUUGUUAGACUUGGAUGAGCCCCGGAGAAUUUCAGAUUACUAUCUCCGCUCUGCUUCUAUUGAAAACACAUAUUGGUGGUCUGGAGAAGAAAAAACAACCAUGACAUUCCUCUCUUCAGUCUCCUGAGCAUUGCUCGGUUUAAAUUUCCCUCCUAUCUGGUAGUUAAUAAAUCUAAGACUCUAGAACUCCAGUCAGAUAUGAAUCUGUUUUCAUUUUGAUGAAUAACAUGGACAUGUUUAGACAUGUUUGUUGACUGUGCUACUCUUAGCUUUCUUAGUUUGCUGUGGUGAUUAAAACGAAUACAGAAGAUUAGCAUACACAAGCCGAACCAAAGAUAGGAGCUUGAUAAAACAGAAAAAGCUGAAAAAGACUGAUGGUGUGCUCACUUGAUGGUAUCGUGGUCAAACCGCUUGUUCUUUGAAUAGGGGUCAUUUACGGGAGAAAAUGCUCUCUCUGCUGUACAACAACAAAGGCCAGCCUUGGAGUCACUAAAAAUAUAUAUGUGGGGUCAUAAAUGUAUUGACUUGAUGCUCUUUGGAAAGCUGUACACAAAAAUAAAGACCCAGGCUAAGAAAUGGCACAAAUCUAUUUGUUUCAAGUUGAGCCAAAUAACUAAGUUUGAUGUUGACAUUGUAACCACUACGGUCAUGGUGAAAAGAAGAAAAAGUAGAACUUUCAGAGUUUUACUCAUUGGAUAAUAAUAAAAAUGAUAUGUUCUGAUUAAACACUUAAUUAUCCCGCAGAACUAGCUUUAACAGCAAUAACUCUCAGAAGUCGUUUUCUCUCUGAUUUUAUCAGUCUCUCACAUCAUUGUGGAGAAUUAUUUUUAAAUCCAGUUUUCUUUCCAGCGUUGCUUCACUUUAUUGAAGUCUGUAGGCAUGAGUUUCUGCAAAGCUCUCCUAAGGUCCGACAAAAACAUUUUAAUCAGGUUGAGGUCUGAACUUUGACUCUGCCAUUGCCACAAUUUAUUCUUUUUUAGGCAAUUAUGUUGGAGAUUUGCUGUUGGGAUCAUUGCCUAGUUACAUGAUUCAUUGUCAGCCAAACCUUGGCUGUCAUAUAGACAACCUUAAAUUUAACUUGAAAAUACUUUGCUCUACCAAGGAGUUCAUAGUUGGCUCAGUUGCCUACUUAAGGUCACCCUGUCAAUCUGCUCAUAUAAUCUUUAUGCCCUGGGGUUAGCUAAAAGGGCCCAGCAUGGAAUGGAGAGGGUUGAAGCUGACCAACCAACAUUCCACCUCUGACUUAAAAUUGCCUGGAUAUAGCCCUAAAACCCUUCUUAGGAACAAUUUAUUCUCUAAGAUCAUUGUGUAUAUCUUUCCUUCUUUUAUUGUGUUAACACACUUGUAUGGUCCAGACAGGCAAACUGUUAAAAGUCCUGCUUUAAUGGAGGUGAUCAUCUGUGCUGAUGAUUAUUUAAUUGGUGCAUUUGAUUGGCAGCACCUGGUUGCUACUCAGCAAGAAUUGAUAUAGCUGAAGUUGUGUGUUUUUGGACACCUAAGGUUGGAUUUAAAUAAUCCUAGAAAAUGAUGAAGACCAGAUAACAUUUAAUAUAUAAUAAUACAUAAAACUGUAGAGCUGAAUGUGACCGUAGGAGUGUAGGAGAUUCAUUAAUGGUUCAGUGUUUUCCUAAUGCGAGUGUAUGUUGCAUGAAUUAUCAGUGGGAGGACGGCUGCUCCGUAGCUGCGCUGAAGAGAUUCAGAUUGAGACGUCCACUCACGGCCCAAUGGUUUGAUAUUUCCAUCAUCGACAGCAAAGGAGACUCUGACAGUCGGGCUGCACAAAGCCAGCUGUUUUCAUGGUUAGAAGCAUCCUGAACGUGCACCCAACUUGAGGGAUUGGUAGGAGAUUAUUAACCAAAGUGACACCCAGAACACAGACUUCCACAGUUGGAAAAUCACUGGGCGUCUUUCUCUCCUUCUCCUUCUGCUGCUCCCGUUCUGGUGCUCUAAUUUUGGAGCUGCAGCAAAGUGCUCCAGCGUGUUCAUGUCAAAGUUCCAAAUUGAAAAGUGUGAUUAGGUGGGAGCAACAUUAAAAAUAGAUAAACACACAUCUGUGGACUAAUCUGGAAAGCAGAAAAACAAACGACAACAAAAUACAAAAGGAGGAACAAAGAUCAUGGACUGUUUAUCAAAUGAUUUUGUAAUAAAAGGAAAGGUCGGAUCUGUGAUUGGUCUCAAAGAGUGAUGUCCUGAAAUGAGUUUAUAUUUGCUAGAUUAUUCAGAUACAUAAAUCAAAGGAACAUGUUCACCACCAAAAGCCUAAUAUUCAUUGUAGCUGAUUAUUGAUGGUGACAUUUUUGUCAAGUUUGGAAAUUUGAAUGUUUUUAAAAAAUAAAUUUCUGUUUACAUAGAAAAAUGUUAAAGUUUUACUUAGAUGUUACUGUCUGUAACCUGUUAGCCUUUUUGGAAAUUUUUGGAUUGUAAUAAACAUAAAAGCUAUUU